GCUUGGAAGCAGCCAUUCAUUUAAAGAGUGCGUAACAGCUCACUAGUCGAGGAGUCGGGCGUGGAUAAUAAUCGGGUAUCAAGUUGUCUACCGAAGCAGUGGGAUCAUUAAUAUGAUCGGUAGGGGAGCAUUCCAGUCAGCGUCGAAGGCGUACCGUGAGGUAUUCUGGAGCGUCUGGAAAAGCAAAUGUAGGUAUAAGUAACGAUAAAGGGGGCGGGAAACCCCCUCGCCGAAAGACUAAGGUUUCCUGAUCAACGCUAAUCGGAUCAGGGUCAGUCGGGUCCUAAGGCUCAGCCGAACGGCGAUGCCGAUGGCAGAAACGGUUAAUAUUCCGUUACUACCUUCAGGAGUGACGUGGAGACGCAGUAGUGACAGUGCCGCCAUCUGACGGAAUAGAUGGUUGAAGGGUGUAGGAGUCGAUCAUGGCAGGCAAAUCCACCAUGAGAUCCGAACCUGACAGUAUGCCGCGUCCUUCGGGACAAGGCAAUAGUGCGCGUAAGCAUGCUGCCGAGAAAAUCCGCUAAACUUAAUCCUGCAGGUACCCGUACCGCAAACGGACACACGUAGUCGGGAUGAAUAUUCUAAGGCGCUUGAGUGAUUCACGGUUAAGGAACUAGGCAAACUGACCCUGUAACUUCGGGAUAAAGGGUCCCUACCCUUUUAUGGGAGGGCGCAGAGAAUCGGUCCAGGCAACUGUUUAACAAAAACACAGGGCUGUGCCAAAUCGAAAGAUCCAGUAUACAGCCUGACACCUGCCCGGUGCUGGAAGGUUAAGAGGAGAUGUCAUCGAUAAGAGAAGCGUUGAAUUGAAGCCCCAGUAAACGGCGGCCGUAACUAUAACGGUCCUAAGGUAGCGAAAUUCCUUGUCGGGUAAGUUCCGACCUGCACGAAUGGUGUAAUGAUCUGGACGCUGUCUCAACCGUGAGCUCAGUGAAAUUGUAGUAUCGGUGAAGAUGCCGAUUACCCGCGAUGGGACGAAGAGACCCCGUGAACCUUUACUAUAGCUUAUCAUUGAAUCUGGGCACGUGAUGUGUAGGAUAGGUCGGAGGCUUUGAAGCAGGUACGCCAGUAUUUGUGGAGCCGCUGUUGAAAUACGACCCUUUAUUUGUUUGGAUUCUAACCCGUGGAUACGGGGACAUUGAUUGGUGGGUAGUUUGACUGGGGUGGUCGCCUCCAAAAGCGUAACGGAGGCUUCUAAAGGUGCCCUCCGGCCGAUUGGUAACCGGCCUUAGAGUGUAAUGGCAUAAGGGCGCUUGACUGGGAGACUGACAAGUCGAUCAGGUAGGAAACUAGAGCAUAGUGAUCCGGUGUUUCCGUAUGGAA
rnacentral:rRNA from 1 species